AACGCUAGCUACAGGCUUAACACAUGCAAGUCGAGGGGCAUCAGGAAGAAAGCUUGCUUUCUUUGCUGGCGACCGGCGCACGGGUGAGUAACACGUAUCCAACCUGCCCUUUACUCGGGGAUAGCCUUUCGAAAGAAAGAUUAAUACCCGAUGGGAUAAUUAUUCCGCAUGGUUUGAUUAUUAAAGGAUUCCGGUAAAGGAUGGGGAUGCGUUCCAUUAGGUUGUUGGUGAGGUGACGGCUCACCAAGCCUUCGAUGGAUAGGGGUUCUGAGAGGAAGGUCCCCCACAUUGGAACUGAGACACGGUCCAAACUCCUACGGGAGGCAGCAGUGAGGAAUAUUGGUCAAUGGGCAAAAGCCUGAACCAGCCAAGUAGCGUGCAGGAUGACGGCCCUAUGGGUUGUAAACUGCUUUUAUACAGGGAUAAAGUUAGCCACGUGUGGCUAUUUGCAGGUACUGUAUGAAUAAGGACCGGCUAAUUCCGUGCCAGCAGCCGCGGUAAUACGGAAGGUCCAGGCGUUAUCCGGAUUUAUUGGGUUUAAAGGGAGCGUAGGCCGUCUGUUAAGCGUGUUGUGAAAUGUAGAUGCUCAACAUCUGAAUUGCAGCGCGAACUGGCAGACUUGAGUGUGCGCAACGUAGGCGGAAUUCGUGGUGUAGCGGUGAAAUGCUUAGAUAUCACGAAGAACUCCGAUUG
rnacentral:rRNA from 1 species